GACGAACGCUGGCGGCGUGCCUAAUACAUGCAAGUCGAGCGGACGUUUUUGAAGCUUGCUUUAAAAACGUUAGCGGCGGACGGGUGAGUAACACGUGGGCAACCUACCUUAUCGACUGGGAUAACUCCGGGAGACCGGGGCUAAUACCGGAUAACAUCUAGCACCUCCUGGUGCCGGAUUGAAAGAGGGCUUCUUGCUCUCACGAUAAGAUGGGCUCGCGGCGGAGUAGCUAGGUUGGAGAGGUAAUGGCUCCCCAAGGCGACGAUGCGUAGCCGACCUGAGCGGGUGGUCGGCCACACUGGGACUGAGCCACGGCCCAGACUCCUACGGGGGACAGCAGUAGGGAAUCUUGCGCAAUGGACGAAAGUCUGACGGAGCAACGCCGCGUGAGUGAUGAAGGGUUUCGGCUCGUAAAGCUCUGUUAUGAGGGAAGAACACGUACCGUUCGAAUAGGGCGGUACCUUGACGGUACCUCAUCAGAAAGCCACGGCUAACUACGUGCCAGCCGCCGCGGUAA
rnacentral:rRNA from 1 species